GUAAAAUUAUAUUUAACUAUUAUUUUAUUUGUACCAGCUAGCUAGAGGAUUUGCUUCUGUUUUUUUUUCUGCUUAAGAAUAAUUUCGAUGAAUGUGAAAAAUUGAGCUACAAUACUUGAUUUGCUUGACAAAUUCAAUACUUCAAAAUAUAACACCGUUGUUGUAUAUGGAUCUUUGUAGAUCGAAUUUACUAUUUACUAAGUAGUUAUUUAAGUUAACCUUCUUAAUAAUUGAUAAAGAAAUUAAAUUGAUUUGCGAAUAUACAUAAGAUUUUUCGUUUCUUAAUCAUUUAUGUUAAAAUAUAAUUUAAUCAGUGAUCAUGCAUAAGGUCUUAUAUUUACAGGGUGUUUCAUUGAGUCAAUCCAAUCAACAUUUGUUGUUUUUAUACCCCCUUUCGGCUUAGUAUACCACUUUACAAUUCCCUGAGAAAACGUAGUUAUGUAGGUAAUAGACUGUAUUUAUGCAUUUAACUUUUUUCUUAAUCCCUUACUACCGUCGUACUAACAUAUGUAUCUCUCUCCAUUAGUUGCAGUGUUGGGCGGCUGUCGGGCCACCUUCGCAGAGGUCGGGGGAAGAACCGCCCUCAUGAUCAACAGCUAUCGCUUCAUGAAGCACUACGUGAGCCGCACGGGCCGCACUAGAUGGCGUUGUCACAAGUCUUUCGCUAAAUGUCGUGCCAUAGCCAUCACGAAUGGCACCCACAUUGUCAAACUGAACGAGUGCCACAAUCAUUUGCCAGAUAAAAAAAAUGACAACCGGGGUUUUAAAAUGGAGCCGGUCUAGUACUUAUCCCGUUUGAGGGUCGGGUUCAUCUUCAAACCCUUCUAUAUUCCAAGAUAACGUCGUACCUCUUGUACUGGGCAAGGUAACCGGUUCACGAAAGGGUUUUACCUCAGGAAAACUAUUCCUACACACUAUGAUUGAUCACAAGAGCCCAUUACGUACAUCUAUUACGAAUGAUGCGUUUUAGCGUAUUUGAGAUUAACGCAUAAACAUUGAUGCACGAUUACCUACUAUAAACGGUCAAAGGUUAUUUAAUGAUUGGUGUCUGAGGUAAAACCUGAAUACCCAACCCAUGAAUAACCCUUUCAAAUGGGUAUUCGCUGUAAGGGGUAGCAGCUCUAAUUUUAUGGUCAGUUAUUUUCAAAUUCAAAGACGCAAUAAAUCUAUUAAAUCAACAGGUAAAUAUUUGAUUAAUUAGGCAUUAAAAGAAAAUGGUACAUGGAAAAGCUUUGCACAGCAGUGGGACACCUUAGGUUAUAUUUUAAAAAAAACAUGAUGUAUAACUUAUCUACCAUAUUUUAUUGUAGAGGUAGGUAGUGAGUGUAGUGAGUAUCUACUGGUUGUGGCAUCCUAUUGGCUGUUACAGUCAUGUGUCAUGUCAUGUCGUGUUCAUGAAUUUAAAAAUAACAGCAGUAUUGUCAAAAAAAAUAUUCAAUAGGUAUUAGGUGUUAGGUCCUAAUUUGUGUUAGUAAAAGUAAUUGUAACUUUUUGGAAAACACGCUUUCGAAUAAGUAGUUAUGUUUUUAUUGGGGCAGAUAUUUGUUUAAACACAGAUAUUUGUUCUCGGGUCUUGGAUGUGCCCGUAAAAUGGCAAUAGGCCCGCCCCCUAUUACAUUGGGACUAACAUAACAUUCUGGCGAAAAGUGGGUGCAGCAAUAUGCACCUCUGCCUACCCCGCAAGGGAGUACAUUAGUACAAGGCGUGAGUGCGUGUGUGUUUUUAUUGGCGCUCGUUAGCACAUUUGACAGUCAUGACCUAGGUACGAAAAAUAUGUGACUAAAGUAACACCUGUCUAUUAGUAUAGUUCUAAUUAUUACAGGAGUCGUGUCAGUCAGCUAUUGAAGCAGUAAUUUUAAAAUUCUAGUGAAUAUCCCAACCUAAUAGAUAUGUAUAUCUACCUCUUUUAAAUUAGUCCCAUAAAAUUUAAUAAUGUUUAAGAAAAAGUUACCACUUUCAUAAUUUACUUAAGAAAUAAGUAUAAAAAUGUGACUCGCACCAUCUCAUCUGUUUAAAAUAAUUUUUUAAUAAUUUAUUAAUUACCUAUUCAUAUUUAAAUAAAAUUAUACAUUAGUUAAAUGCCUUAUUUACUUUUUGUAUUAUUUGUGUGUGGUGCUGAUUUUUUUAAAUCUUUUUUGUUGCGUAUAAGUACUAACGUAAGUGCAUGCUUACUAUUGCUUACCUAAGUUACCCAGAAACAUGGAUUCUAUGCAACUUCAAAGUAAAAGCAAUACUAGUUUGUAGAUACCUAGUUAUUUUAAAUAAUAUGAUGUCUAUUUCAACACUUUUUACAACUAAUUUAACUGACUCAGCAGGUUGUCGAGGUGUUAUUUAACAUAACCUAUUAUUGAUGUAAUUUUUUACUGAUAAUUAAUGUACUUUUUGUGAAUAGAUCAUGUUAUGUGAAAGUUGUAUUAUUAUUUCUCCCAUCUCAUAAGUAGUUACUAAGUAAGUAUGUGAUUCAUUUGAAAAUCACCAUCGUGAUUAUUUCAGUCUGUUUAAUUUUUAUGUUUCUUUCUGUUUCCUUAACUCUACUUUGCGUACUUCACCAAAAAGGCUUCUACUGAAAUAUCAGCGCAGUGUCUUUUUAGCCACUUGAAGGAACUGCAUUAGCUCAAUCUGUGGAUCACUGUGGACAUAUUUUUGACAAUGACGACAAGUCUCUCUGUUUGCCUUCCUUCCUUCUCUUUCCACAGUCUCCAAAGUAUUUCUAAAACUUUGCAGUGUAGUAGGACUUUCACUACUUCUAAGUAAAUGUAUUAAAAAGCCAUUCCAACUGUUGUUCUUCCAGCCCGCAUCGUGUUCGAGGGCGACGGGCGGCCCACGCUGGUGGUGGGCGGGCACCCGUUCGGCCGCCACUACGUGUCGUCGGGCGGCCGCGUGCGCUGGCGCUGCCGCCGGUACAACCACCAGUGCAAGGCCGUCAUCAUGACCUUCGGACAGAACCUCAUCACCACCAAGCUCGGACAUAAUCAUUGAUUGUGAUCUUUUGAAGGAAGAAAAUGGAAAUCUGUCGCGUGUGGCAUUUUGUGCAACGAAUGAUGAAAGGGUUGAAUAGCAGCGGAGGUGCAUAUAGUGAUCGUGCAUAAUAGUUGCGGUUUUGAAAAAUACUUAAGUACUUACUGAUAAAAUUAUGAUGUUUCUCGUUUCUUUAUGUUGUUUUUAACAUACCACAUUGCAAAUGCACAUGAGUUCAAUUUAUAACAGCGCAUUACGAUAUUACCAACUAAAAAAGUAAAUCAUGUUUCAAAUUUUAAAUUAAAUGUUUAAAUUGGAGCUAUUAUUUUGGUGUGAGCAUUGUGUGUGUGAAACUUUUUAAUUGCUAGAAAGUGUAUUAAUAAUUACAGUUUUGUAUAAAAUUAUGCCAUUAGAAUCGCUAACUAUGUUUUGUCAAAACCUAAUAUAAUACAGAUUUGGAAAGAUGGACAUGGGUGGAUAUCAGUGGAUAAAAUAAUUAUAAAACCGUAAAUAAUAUAAUGAAUCUUUUUUGUACAUAGAUUAUGUUUUUUUUUAUUUUUUUAAGCAAUGUGAUCAAUAUAUUUACAGGCUUAAUAAAACGUAGAAGUGGCGCGGUACCAAAGCAAAUACUUUGCGUCAACGGUUUCGAGUUCGUGAAACACUACUUGUUUAGCGGCAAUGUAAUGCGUUGGAAAUGCAGACUUUAUCGAGGCCGUAAGUGCAAGGCAGCUGUCAUCACCAGAGCUAAUGAAGUCGUCAAGGUUUUUGGCGAACAUAAUCACCCUGUUUUACGGGAAGGGAAGCGAGGUGCAGACAGGGAGAAGAUCAAUCAAUCAAUCUUGCGGGAGCAAGGUGAACACCCUGUUUUACGGGAAGGGAAGCGAGGUGCAGACAGGGAGAAGAUCAAUCAAUCAAUCUUGCGGGAGCAAGGUGAACACCCUGUUUUACGGGAAGGGAAGCGAGGUGCAGACAGGGAGAAGAUCAAUCAAUCAAUCUUGCGGGAGCAAGGUGAACACCCUGUUUUACGGGAAGGGAAGCGAGGUGCAGACAGGGAGAAGAUCAAUCAAUCAAUCUUGCGGGAGCAAGGUGAAGAGACAGAGAACAUCAAGGAUCUUUCACUGGACGAUGACUGGUUAGAUUUAAAACCGUUACAUGAAGUUACAAACGAAAAUAGUAUAAUAUAACUUAAGACUUAUUCCUACUGUGAAUAUGACAUCACAACACUACGGUAGGUAUACAGUGAAACCUGGUUAAGUGGGACCUGGAUAAGUGAGAAACCUCCAUAGCUGGAACUCAUGCUGAGGCUCAUGCUUUGGCACUGAAUUACCUCUGUUAGUGGGACGAGGUAAGCCUCUAUAUCUGGGAUUUGUUCUUUCGAUUUAUCAUCAUAGUUACCUCUAUAACUGAGACAGCCAGUAAAUUUUAUAUGCAUAAACCUCUGUAACUGAGAUAACAUUGUUUGUUUUACUCAUUCUUAUUCUACCCACAAAUUCCACACGUAAUUCCAAGUACGUAAGUACAAAUUUUGAGCUUCAGUUCAGUUCAAUGUUAAACCUUCAAUUUACUAUCAUACAGAUAUUUAAAUUUGAAAAAUGCCAAAACGAAAGCUACAAUAGUUAUCAUUAUGUGAAAAACUAAAUUUAAUAUCCUUUUAUGAAAGUGGGAAGACACGCGUAGAAGUUGUGCUGAUUUUAAUGAAUGAAUAAAAAAAAAUAUUAAAUUAAUUUUAUUUAAUGAUUGAUCGCACCUGUAUUACUGAAAUAACCUGUAUUCUCACCUCUAUUAAUGGAACCCUCUGUAAAUGAGACAGAUAUUUAUUUAUCCCUGUAUAUGUGAGACACUGGGUAAGUGGAAUACCUCUUUAAGUGAAACGAUAUUGCAGGACCCUUGAAUUCUCACUUAACCAGGUUUCACUGUAUAUGAUCCUUACUCAAUUUCAUAUUUCCACCGAUAUGUGUAUUUGUAGAGAUGUGUAAAUAAAAUAAGUAACUUAAAUAUUA